rnacentral:lncRNA from 1 species
GCUAAAGGUCACAAGCAAGGACAAUGAACCUGGAAUUUGGAGGAAUUCAUACUCCAGUGAAGAAUUUCCAGACCCCUCAUGAAAAUAGCAGAUUGCCUACUCACCAGAGAAUACUCAAGAUGAAACUAAGCCGCCCCUGGAGAGUAAGCAAAUGAUUAGAAGGGUAGAUUUCAGGCAAGCAAACGGGUGAGAGCCCAGAAUCUCCAUGUGAAUGACCCUAAAAUUACAGCUAAUAUAGGAAGUGGCUUCCUUGUACCUCUAGAAAUUGAACUCUCAGAACCUGACUGACAGUCUGCUCUUAAGAACAUUAGCUCAAUCUGGAGAGAAAUGUGUGUUUCGAGCUGGCUAGAAAAGUUCUUCUUUUAUAUAGAUUUCAGACAGAAGCAGAAGGAGACUUAGAGGUUCUUCGUCAUAAGUUGCCAAAAUGAAACAGAACUAUGAAAAGAAAAUGGAGACACUUCUUCAGGAGGUGCCUGUGAUGUGAUUUACUUGAUAAUUAUGGCUUACAGGGUAUUGAGAUGGGAUUGUAUAACUGAAAUAUAAACUGGAUAUGAGUAGAGAUUUGAAAGGUUUUUCAAAAACGUUCAGCUUUACUUUUUUUUUUCCCUAAGGAACAAAUUGUUCACUCAUAGAGCUGAAAAGGAUAAAUGAAGUGUUCAGUUCAGAGAAGCAAAAUAUGAGUAGUUCACGUAUCUUUUGUAAAUGUUCUGUGUAUCACUGUAAACUAGACAUCUUCCACAUGUCCCUAUGUUUUUCCAUUUUGAAAUCAAUUUCUAGCUCAAACUUGUUAAUAGACAACGAAUAUUUGCAAAGUUAUAGCUUCACUGAAUUAGGAUGUAACCUGCAGCUCACAAUGAAAAUGCCAUUAGCUUGAGUUUAAAAUUUAUGUUGCUAUUUUUUUCUUUUGUCAAUAUUUUCCUUCUGUGGUACUUAUUGCACAAGGGUCUGGUAUCACAACUGAGGGAAACUGCAGAACAAUGGUUCUCGCUAUCAUUCAGACCCAUUUAAGCCACAGUCUUUGUUGGUUUUGCCAAAUGACUGAAUGCUUGGGUCUAUUAGGACUGUCAAAUAGUGUUGAGUACAUAUUUGUGGCAUAAGCAAGUUAAUAUUUAUAGGGAGCACUUUUGCAUGUCUUUUAAGUCACAUACUAAUUU